rnacentral:misc_RNA from 1 species
CAGAGUUACAAAACUCCCAAACCCUUGUGAACCUACCUGUACGUCGUUGCUUCGGCGGGUAGCCCCACGCCGGGGCCGUGCCUCCUAGCGAGGUGCCCGCCGGAGGACCACUUUAAAACUCUUGCAAUUUGUGGCCUCUCUGAGUAUUAUAUAAAUAAGUCA